GGGGGUAUAUAUCAGUGAUAGAGCAUUCGACUGCAGAUUGAGAGGUCUACGGUUCAAACCCGGGUUUCCCCU